GUUUAGCUGUGCUAACUGCUUUGUGAAAGGAAAAUCCUCCUGAAAUUAAAUAACCAAAGGAGAUAGGCACAGUUGGCUGGUGGGAAAAUUCCAUUGGCAUUGCCAGCAUUCCAACCCUGAUAUCAAAUGUCAGAUGGCACAUUGCUGCUCUGCCUUGGGACCUUCCCUCUCCCCCAGCUCUCCCCCCUCGCCUCACAUUGGGAGACCACCCACUGGGAGCCUCAGUAGAACCAGAGGAGGAGACCAAAUAGAGGCACCAAAGUUCCCCUGGGCUUGCCAAGACACAAGAUAACUCAGAGAACUAGAAAUUCCUGUCCUCAUUACCAUCAGUAGAAGUGGACAAGGAGAAAACAGCUAUGACUGACUCACAACUCAAACCUAGCAACCCAUAAAGAUUUCCAAGUCCCAUCAAGAGGUUAGAGACCUGGUACUAGUAACUGCUGGGGGAAGGUCCAGUAUUCAAGAAUGGAGGAAGAAGAGGGACUAAAAUUUGUAAGCACAAGGGAAGCAAGAAGAGAGUACAGGAGGAAGGGAGAAGAGGAAGUCCAUGGGGAGACACUCUGCCUUUGGAGUGGAGAUAUGCUGAAGGUCUAGGAAGGGACUUUCAAGAAUGGGGAUUAGA